rnacentral:rRNA from 1 species
CCAAUAGCGUAUAUUAAAGUUGUUGCAGUUAAAAAGCUCGUAGUUGAACUUCGGGGUUCACCCAUUGGUCAGGCUUAAUUGUCUGUACUGGUGAGAUGAGUCUCUACCUUCUGAGGAACUUUCAUGCCAUUUAUUUGGUGUGAUUGGAAAUCAGGACUGUUACUUUGAAAAAAUUAGAGUGUUUAAAGCAGGCUAACGUC